UGAGCUCGUCUGUUUGUUCAGGGAGAGGAGUCUUUGCUGUAUCUUGGGGUCCCUCCCACAGCAGACAGUUCUCUGGGAACUUCUCCAGCAUGGCUCCACUCUCACGAGCAACAGUCCUGCCAAAACUACUGCAACGUGAGUCCAGCCCUCGGGCAAACAGUCUUCCCAAAACUGCUGUGCCGUGGGUCAAUUAUCCUCAGGGUGCAGUUCUCUAAGGACAGGCUGCUCUCGUUUGGAAGCAGGGGCCCUCUCUUGGGAAGCAGGGGCCCUCUCUGUCCAUUCGGGUCUCUCACUGGAUCACAGCUUUCUCUGGCAUCCACCUGCUCCAGCCCGAGCUCUUCUCCCACGGGCUGUGGGUGGAUUUGUGCAUCCCCCGUGGGUCCCCAUGGGCUGCAGGGGCGCAGCUGCUUCACCACGCUCCUCACCACGGCCUGCAGAGGAAUCUCGGCUCCGGUGCCUGGAGCACCGCCUGCCCCUCCUUCUGCUCUGACCUUGGUGCUGCCGUGUUAAAUUCCCUUGCAUGGCCUCACCUCCUCCUCUUCUCUGUCUAGAAGAAAAACUGCUGCCUGUCGGUACCACUGCCAACAAGUUCCAGCAGUUCAGAGAUUCCUGCAGGGUCCCGCAGCACUGAGGGGUUGAUCUCAUUUAGGUUCGGCGUUGGGGACUCUCCCGCCACGUUUUUGCUGCCGGCCGGGCGGCCCCGCUGUC